AUGUUAUUAAUUAUUUUGAUGUUAGUAUUGUGCAUCUUCAUAUGCAACAAGAGUCAAACUGACUCUAGGCCAGUGCAUAUUGUACAUGGACAUUGUCUCAUUUCACAGGAAGCUUGUUGCUUAGUGUCACUGUUGCUAGGUAAACAAGUUAUUUGUAGCCAGUGUCAGAUUUCAGCUGGGAGGCUGCAAUGCAGAAAAGCCAUCCUGGACAAGAUUACAGCAAAUGGUGAAAGAAGCCCAGGCUUUCUAUGGCCAGGCCUCCUGCUGAGCAGCUGUUGGCAUGCUGAAGGAGCAGCUCAGCUUUGUUCUCCUACCACACUGACCGCUGAGUGCUUUCCCGUGUCAGCAGGACUGGGCUCAAAGCAAGGCCUUGAAGGACUCUAUAUCCGUCUGCUCAUGACAGGGUGCUGUUUGCAAGUCUCCUUUUCCACUGGUCCAAGAGUAUGAGGCUUUCUGCAGAACAGGGGAAAUUCCACACAGAAUCAUGUGACCUACCAGAACGGUACCCGGCAAUUUUAUGGGCAUGCAGGGAAGUUCCUCAUUUGUGAGUUUACUCUGAGUAUGUUGGAUUUUUCAGUUCUUGAUGCUUUGAUUUCACCUCAAUCUCUUACUUUUAUUAAAUGCAGUAUAAUAGAGCUUCAUCUUCAUUAACCAUUGUGCUUUUAAUGGCUUGCUUUGUCACAUACAAGGAAAUAAGAAUAUAACUAAAGUUCUGAACUUGAAAAGCACAUUAAAUAUGCUUGAAAAAAUACAUGAAUAAAAUGAAUAAACUAUGAUGGCAAACUCCCCUCUUGUACUUUCCGUUAGAUGGUGCAUCACCAUAGAAACAUUCCACUUUGGCAACGAUGCUGUCACACACAGACUGGAAAGCAACCAAGAACGAGAUCAAAUGGUACACCAUGAACAUUUUACAUAGCCUUAUGGUGUAAAAUUUUAUGACAGUAGCAUUUCAAAUGUUCCUGAGUCUAUCUACUUUUUAUGUCUGGCCUUAAUGUUAAUAUAACACUGUCUCUUAAGCUACAGCACCUAAAUUCCACUGUCUCUGGAUAAAUUGGAACAUGUCGAGCUGUCUUCUGGCCUGGCAGGAGGGGGACGGCAGCUAACUAUACCUGGGCUCUGAUUGGUGCAGCUUGUGUAAGCAUAUGACACUUUAAAUAGCAAUUUCUUGUUUCCAUGCACAAACAAGGCUAGAAAAAUGGCAGCUUUAUCUGUGAGUGUUUGCCAGUCAUAUCGUGCUUACUGCCAUUAGCAGGAAGUGGCCGACAUGUGGUAAACACUGGUUGAAUUGGUUGGGUGCAGUGGGUUCACACACACAUCUGUCCACACAACCAAGCCAAGUCCGUUUUCUAAAGACUACGUGUGAAAUCAAAUCCUUCUCCCAAUAUACAGUUCUCCACUGGGCUCGGUUGUUUUUAGCUUUUGGGAAGCAAGCACGACUGGAAGCAGGUUGCCGUAAAUAGACUCUGUAAAUGUGACUUGGCUCAUGCUCUAGACUGCAGAAUUCCCUGCACAUUUGAAAGGAGCAGACAGGAGAAUACAAAUCUGUUUCUGUUGCUCUCACUUGGAAGUUGCUUUAGAUGAAAGCAUCUGCUAAAUGAAUGAAUCUUAUAUAGACUGUGUUUUGUAUAAAGUUUCAAAUGAAAUGAGAAGAAUAGGCAAGACUACAAGAAAAAGUAAAACAUGGGUCUUUGGUGGAUGUAGUUAUUGGACACCAGCUAAAAAAAAAAAACCCUAAUCCCGACAACAACAACAAAACACAAAAGUCCUGACUCGUAAUCAAAAUAACUGUGAUCAGAGGGAUUUUCUGUGUGAAAUGUGAAAUAUUGCUGACACACUGUAUAUGGCUAUAUCUGCUUGCUAAUGUCACUCGUGGAUCUUUUGUGUGCAUAUAUCAGCCACUUAUGAUCUCUUUGUUGCAGUGUGACUUUUGAUCUGACUCAAAGGUUUAUUCAGAAGUCAGCAAUAGACAUGUGACUUAAAACAGCAACAUUUUACGAAUGGGUAUUUCAGUUCAAUCAGUAGAAGUUGCCAUGCGAUUCUGGUUGUUUGUAGCAGGUUGACACCACCAUUUGCCAAUGUUUUGCCUGUAAUUCAGAGUUAUUUGGAAGUUUCCAACCUAUUUUUAUUUAGAGGUUUCCACCAUAAAAGUCGCACACUUUUUAGACAGCUAACGGUAUUAACAAACUUCAAGUACUAACAUUUACUGAAAUCAACAGGUAUUAUUUAGGCUACCAAAUAGCACAAUUUUAAUAAAACAUGCCCCAAAUCAUUCACAUAAAAAGGAAAUGUUACAAUUUAUAAUAACCAAUGUGUCAGAGUUAAUUUGUUUUCUAAAUGAGCACAUGCAUAACACAAAAAAUAGCCAGAAGUGACAUAAGGAGGAUUUUCAGUCAUUUCUCAAUAAUACCAGCUGACUAUAAAAGCUAUUUGUGAAUGAUUCAGGUCCUUUUGCAAAAUAAAAUCUAUAAAUCUGUUUCAUAAUACAAAAACAAGAGUGUUGAAAUGUUCUCAAAUCUGUUGUUUUCUAAGGGUGGAUUAAUCUAAAGCGCCCUCUUGCGUCUUUUCUUAUUAUGAUUGAGACCUACAAAAAGUGUACAACUGGUUAAAAGAUGAGUGUUAUUAUUAUUAUUAUUAUUAUUAUUAUUAUUAUUAUUAUUAUUAUUAUUAUUAUUAUUAUUAUUAGUAUUAUUAUUAGAUGUGAAUGUUGUUCUUUUAAAUAAUUAAUUAAACUGUAUUUUUUUAAAUUAUAGGUUUAUUUUCACAAAAGUUUGUGAAUGUUUUUAAACGCGUGCAGACUGCGCCCUCUUGCGGCUAUACAUAUUUACCUCAUUAAACUUUUUUCUUUAGUUUUACACAACAGUGACACCUGUUGAUAUUUGCCGAGAUUAAAAAUGAAAUAACACUUAAUAAGAAAACGCAAACUUAGAAAGCCUCCAUGUAGAGUAAAUGACGAUAAUGUUUGAAUGAGUUUCUUUCCCCGGCUUUAAGCUGUUUUUUGUGCCUUGCUGGUUUAAACUACUCUCCCUCUCUGGCAGAGAAGUCUUUAUCUGGGCAGCAAGCUUUCAUAAUUGAAGUCAACAGUUUAGCAUAUAUACAUAAUUUUAUGGUGGAGAGGCUUUUUUAUUAGGUGGCGGCUCCUUUAAGAGCACAAGCAUUCCGAACCCCCGCUAUGACGUCAGAGCAGUAAGACGCUGGCCGAAAGUAGCGAAGGGCCAGUGCUCGUCUCACAGAGUAAGGUUGGAGCGCACGCUAUUCUCGACUUUUUAAGUCAGUAUUUGCGUUUUUAACUCGCUCGGCGGCGCUUUCGAAAAGCCUGUGACACUUCGAAGCCGUUUAAACUUGAAGUGGUUUUAUGUAAGUCGUUUUUUUUUACUCUCUGAGCCCUGAAUUGGUGGGUUGACCCUCGACAUGGAAAUUAGCUAGCUUAGCUAACGUUAGUUACCAAGAAACCGCAAUAACGGCGCAUCAAAGGGUCCCUGUCAGAGUUUUUAUCGCUUUUAAACGUAGUUUAUGUUCCUGGAGUCGAGCUCUGUGAGGCAGAUCUUCGCCUUGGGUGUUGCCAAAGAAAGACUGAAGUUCGGGAAAAGUAACAGUUAGCUAGUUGUUGAAGUUA
ensembl:lncRNA